UCAAAACUUUCAACAACGGAUCUCUUGGUUCUGGCAUCGAUGAAGAACGCAGCGAAAUGCGAUAAGUAAUGUGAAUUGCAGAAUUCAGUGAAUCAUCGAAUCUUUGAACGCACAUUGCGCCCUCUGGCAUUCCGGAGGGCAUGCCUGUUCGAGCGUCAUC
rnacentral:rRNA from 1 species